UGAACUCUGGCGGCGUGCCUAAUACAUGCAAGUCGAGCGAACAGACGAGGAGCUUGCUCCUCUGAUGUUAGCGGCGGACGGGUGAGUAACACGUGGAUAACCUACCUAUAAGACUGGGAUAACUUCGGGAAACCGGAGCUAAUACCGGAUAACAUGUUGAACCGCAUGGUUCAACAGUGAAAGACGGUCUUGCUGUCACUUAUAGAUGGAUCCGCGCCGCAUUAGCUAGUUGGUAAGGUAACGGCUUACCAAGGCAACGAUGCGUAGCCGACCUGAGAGGGUGAUCGGCCACACUGGAACUGAGACACGGUCCAGACUCCUACGGGAGGCAGCAGUAGGGAAUCUUCCGCAAUGGGCGAAAGCCUGACGGAGCAACGCCGCGUGAGUGAAGAAGGUCUUCGGAUCGUAAAACUCUGUUAUUAGGGAAGAACAAAUGUGUAAGUAACUAUGCACGUCUUGACGGUACCUAAUCAGAAAGCCACGGCUAACUACGUG
rnacentral:rRNA from 1 species